CUUCCCCAGGCCCACCCAGCACUGUGGCUGGAAGGCCGGUGGCUCAAGACAGCAGUUCCCACCAGCCAGAGCCACAGGCUCUUCCACCCACCGAGGCGACGGGGAACCUGAGUGAAAAGGCACAGGUGGCAGGUGGGCAGGUGCAGGGUCCUGAAGCCAACAGGCUACUGACCCUGGAGCACACUGGCUCGGGGACCCCUGCCCAGGCGAGGGACGAUGCUGCCGAGGCCACCACCAGCCACCCUUGCCCCGUCCUGGAGCUGCCUCCGGCCUGGCCCCUGGGCUGUGGAGUGGAGGAUGUGCCAGCCUUCUGCUUCGUCUGUUUCCACAGGGAGGAGGAGGAGGAGCUGCUGGAAGAGGUCCCACUGCAGAGGCUCUGCCCUGGAGACUUUGCGGCCUCGGAUCUUAGCCGGGAUGGAUGUGUAAUUUUAAUCAGCCGCCCUCCACCCCCGCCCAGGUGAGCAACUCAUACCGGCAGUUGCUAAAUUCCAGAAGGAGAUAGAGAUGGACCUUAGGGUCAGAGAGCCAUGAGAUCCUGCCCUCUUCCCUCACUCCCCACAUCCUCCCCCUCCAACUCUGGGGACACCUCUCUUAGGGCACACCCUCCCCCCUUCCUGCCCUGGUGACCUGGUGGCUUGUGUUUGCCGAACCCAGUCUCCUUCUCAGCUGGUGGGCGCUGGCCCUUUAAGGCCUGGAGAGGGGACACCGCCAGGCCCGGCAGAGGCAGUGACCACAGGUGCCAGGUGGUGAAGCUAAAAAUACUGAGUGAUGUGGACGCCCAGGCUGCAGGAGCCAGCCCGCGCUGGCGGGGAGGGUGGGACGGAAGGCUCUGGAGUGUUUCUUUCCUUCUGGAGGAGGGGCCGUGGCCAGUGCGGUUUGGUGGGGUCACCUUGGGGGUUUAGAGGAGCUGUCCCCCGCCCCCACUCCUCUCAGCCAUUCCCCAGCCCCUGGAAGGUGCCAGAAUUCACUCCCGAUGAUAGCUGCCGUGGCAUUUAGCAGCCCCAGGGCGUGCUAAUUCUGCUGCAUCCUGUUUCUUGGCAACUCUGGGGAAGUCAUUCCUUCUCUUUGGGCCUCUGUAAAAUUUAAGAAUUGGACUUGCCAGGGUGCUUAUAGGAACAGAGAAGUAAGAGGGAUGCAGGCGACCCCUUCGCUCAUUCGUGGAUUCCACAAAUUUUGCCCAAGGCCUCCCAGGGAUUGGAUGCUGAGGCCACCAAGAUGAACAUGACAUGGGCACGUCCCUGGAGGAGCCCAGCCAGGACCCCCUGGGACAGUGGCAGCAGGCAGUGCAACGAGCUGCGAUUGAGGUGUGAACACUGCGCCCUCAUCAUCGCGAGAUGAUGCAAGACACCACCCCUCGGGGAGCACAUCUGCAUUUGAUGACAGCUUGUCCGCUAAAGCAUCUUCCUAUUUGCUGCUUGAUGUGGAACUAAGGCGAGGCUCGCUGCCUUAACAAACAAGCCUGGACCCGCGUGGCCUCACAGGGCAGAGCCACCUGUGCUGCUCCUGCAAAGCCCAGAGGGGGCUGGAGACUGGGGGAGACUUCUCUACUCAGUCUUUGGGGGAUCCAGGCUCCUCCCACCCUGUGACACUGUCCUCACGUGGGGCCUCCCAGGAAUCCAUGGCUGGAUCCUCUCUCUGCUUCCACUGGCAGAUGAAGCAGAAAGAGGGUGUUGAUCACAUGAGAGGGUUUUCUUCUCUUCUACCCCCACUCCUUGGCCAGAGUCGCUAAUUGCAAGAGAUACUGGGAAACGUAGUCCUGUUGUGAAAAUGGUACAAUUGGUAUCCGUGAGAGCACCUGGCACGGAGUUGGUGCCCAGCGUGUUUGUGAGGAAUGCGUCCGAGCAUUCUACGGAUGUCACCGAGCACCCUCAGUGGACAAGAACUAGACCCUGGACAGUGAAAAUACCCAUCCUGCUCUCACUGGGCUUUUAUGGAAUGUGUCUGACAAAACACAAGUAAACAGGAGUUCCCCGGUGGCUCAGUGGGUUAAGGACCUGAGUUGUUGUCCCUGCUGUGGCUCCAGAACUUUUGUAUGUCAGGCGUGUGGCCAAAAAAACCCAAGUAAACAAAGCAACUUUGAAUUCUUAUGGUGGCUCAGCAGGUUAGGAACCUGAUAUUGCGUUCAUGAGGAUGCAGGUUCGAUCGCUGGCCUCUCUCACUGGGUUAGAUCCAGCGUUGCCGCAACCUGUGGCAUAGGUCACAGAUGUGGCUUGGAUCUGGCAUUGCUGUGGCUGUGGUGUAGGCUGGCAGCUGCAGCUCCAAUUCAACCCCUAGCCUGGGAACUUCUAUAUGCUGCAGGUGCAGCUGUGAAAGAAAAAAGAAAAUGAAAAAAAACAAAACAAAAAAAAAAAAAACCAAAAUGAGGAGUCCCCAUCGUGGUGCAGCAGAAACGAAUCAGACUAGGAACCAUGAGGUUUUGGGUUCAAUCCUGGGCCUUGCUCGGUAGGUUAAGGAUCCAGUGUUGCCGUGGGCUGGGGUGAAGAUCACAGAUGCAGAACUGGCAUUGCUGUGGCUGUGGUGUAGGCCGGCAGCUGUAGCUCCAAUUGGACUCCUAGCCUGGGAACCUCCAUAUGCCACAAGUGCAGCCCUAAAACAAACACACAAACAAACAAAAAACCCAAAUAAAAUCAUCCUUGUUUAAAACCCA
rnacentral:lncRNA from 1 species